GACAAGAAUUCUUAUACUUCCGCAACAUCGCUGGCGAGCUUUUAGCACGUUUGGAAGUUUCACACGGGUAACUUCCGCAAUAGAAAAUGUUUGUAGGGAUGUAUCGUGAAACACAAAGCGCACAAUCAUAUUCAGCAUACUCAUAAAAACUUCAACACAAAUAAAUAUACAUAUAGUCAGCAUUUGGUUGUGUCGUAUAUUCAUACAUUUUUCUUUCAUAUGCAACAGUUUUAGGCUCCAACCGGUUUCUUUCCUCCGUUAUAAUAUUUCCAGCUAAAGAAAAAAACGUUUCCAAUGGUGGUUGCAGGAACUGAUAUUUUUAUUAAAAAUAUCCCAACAUAGCCUUUCUAUUUAAGUUCAUAAAAUUAUUUGGAAGCAUGUUACCUAUCUAUUUCCAUAUUUUUAUUAAAUUGUAAAACUUGCUUCUUUAAUUUUUUAACACUACUUUUUUAAUUUUACAUAAAACUAAAUAAAAAGAUCUUUACCUGUUACUUUUUGUAUUAUAUUUGUCAUUCAUAAUUUAUUGCUAUUUCUUAUUAAUUUGAUUUUGUAAAAAACGGCCGUAAUAAAUUUCAAAUUCUUAGAAUUUACAUUCUAUUUCACAUGAUAAAUAGAAAUGCACCAUAUGUUAACUUUCCUACCAAAGAACAUGCUCAUUAUUUUGCCUUUAUUGUUAUUUAUAUUUUAUUUACACGCAUUUCCGCACAGCAAUACUUAAAGUAAAUAGAGUAAAUCAUAAUAUAUUUUGUUGAAAUGUUUGAAUAAAAGAAAUUCCCAACAUA